AAAGUGGAGCAAUCCAUGAGUAAAGUGGCGCACGGGUGAGUAACACGUGAAUCAUCUACCUUCGAGUGGGGAAUAACUGGGAGAAAUCUCAGCUAAUACCGCAUAAUACCUACGGGUCAAAGCAGCAAUGCGCUUGAAGAGGAGUUCGCGGCAGAUUAGUUAGUUGGCGGGGUAAUGGCCCACCAAGACGAUGAUCUGUAUCCGGCCUGAGAGGGCGCACGGACACACUGGAACUGAAACACGGUCCAGACUCCUACGGGAGGCGGCAGUGGGGAAUUUUGCGCAAUGGGGGAAACCCUGACGCAGCAACGCCGCGUGGAGGAUGAAAUCCCUUGGGAUGUAAACUCCUUUCGAUGGGGAAGAUAAUGACGGUACCCAUAGAAGAAGCCCCGGCUAACUUCGUGCCAGCAGCCGCGGUAAUACGAGGGGGGCAAGCGUUGUUCGGAAUUAUUGGGCGUAAAGGGUGCGUAGGCGGUCUGACAAGUCUGAUGUGAAAUCUAUGGGCUCAACCCAUAGUCUGCAUCGGAAACUGUCGGGCUUGAGUAUGGGAGAGGUGAGUGGAAUUUCCGGUGUAGCGGUGAAAUGCGUAGAUAUCGGAAGGAACACCUGUGGCGAAAGCGGCUCACUGGACCAUUACUGACGCUGAGGCACGAAAGCUAGGGGAGCAAACAGGAUUAGAUACCCUGGUAGUCCUAGCCCUAAACGAUGAUCGCUUGAUGUGGCAGGUACCCAAUCCUGCCGUGUCGAAGCUAACGCGAUAAGCGAUCCGCCUGGGGAGUACGGUCGCAAGGCUGAAACUCAAAGGAAUUGAC
rnacentral:rRNA from 1 species